rnacentral:misc_RNA from 1 species
GGUAGUAAAAGUCGUAACAAGGUUUCCGUAGGUGAACCUGCGGAAGGAUCAUUAAAGUUAUAGUCCCCCGGCCCUCUGGGCUGGGGUCUUCUAUACCACCCUUUGUUUAUUACACCUUUGUUGCUUUGGCAGGCCUGCCCUCGGGCUGCUGGCUCCGGCCGGCUCGCGUCUGCCAGAGGACCUAAACUCUGUUUGUAUAUGAAGUCUGAGUACUAUAUAAUAGUUAAGACUUUCAACAACGGAUCUCUUGGUUCUG